AAGAGGAAAGGGCAUUGCGGACUAGUCUGCGGUCGGUUAGAGAUCCAGGGCAAUAUCAGGCAGUUGAUCAAUGGAUCCAGCAUUUUGGGGAAUAUCAAGGAAGUUGUACGGCGUUCGCAGCAUUGAUUUCUUCCCUCCUAUCCUAUCUUUUUUUUAUUUCCGCAUUAUUAGACUUUGGAUACACUAUGUAUUAGGAUGAUAUUCUGUACUCUAGAGGCUCAGAUUCGUGACGCCGGGUCCUAGUGAGAUUAUGUUGUGUAUUUUGUUAAACUCUUCAGUACUUUGAUCUUGAAUUAAUUGAUAUUUCCAUCCGCUAUUUUUGAUAAAUUGGGUUAAGUGUUGAAUAA